rnacentral:rRNA from 1 species
CUCGUAGGCGGUUAGACACGUCGGAUGUGAAAACUGGGGGCUCAACCCCCAGCCUGCAUUCGAUACGGUCUGACUAGAGUGUGGUAGGGGUAACUGGAAUUCCUGGUGUAGCGGUGAAAUGCGCAGAUAUCAGGAGGAACACCGAUGGCGAAGGCAGGUUACUGGGCCACCACUGACGCUGAGGAGCGAAAGCGUGGGGAGCAAACA